AGCCAGGCUGGACAUGGGACAGGUCCUCGAAGCCGGGGCUCAGGGAGGGCGAGACGGUGUCGGGGCUGGUGUCACAUGAGCCCGUGCUCUGUUCUGAGGUGGCAAUGGUGGUCGUGGUGCUGGGUGGGAUGGGGUCUUCAUCCUCUUCCUCCAGGAAGGAUGCCUCUGGGAUAUGGCUGAAGGCCUCUGGGUGCUGCCUGGCCAGUUUCCCUUUCAGCGUCCUGAUACGGCGGAAGAUGCUGUCCAGGUCCCGUUUCAUCUCUACUAGGGUCCUCGUGUGGUGCAGGAAGCGUUCGCUCAUCUGCUGCAGGCGGGCACUGGACAGGUUGUUGAAGUUGAGCAGCAUCUCAUUGGUCUUCUCAAAGCGGUCCAGCAUGUUCUUCUGGGCCAGGAUGAUGGCGUUGACAUCAUCUGUGUUCACCAUGCUCAGGAUGCGGCCGCAGAAGACCCUCGAGGCCGAGUCCGGGAGGUCCAUCUCUUUCUCCUCCUCCGCUGCCUGAAACAGGCAAGAACAGAGUGGUCUGCACUAGUCACCAGGUGAGGUGGGACCAAGAGGCCAGGCCGGGACCGCCAUGUGCUGGAACCUAACCCAACCGUGGUGGUAUCCUACAGUGGGGAUGUGUGACUGUGGCUCAGUCAUGCCACCUGAACCUCAGGUGUGCCACCCCAGGAAUUUGGAGGUAUUGGGCAAACUAAGAGAGGUUGUAUUUGUAAACUGUACCCAAGCACAUUAGAAUCCCAUCACCUCCCACUUCCAUGAGCCCAAGGCCACAGGUACCUCUCACCUGCACAGAUCUGCCAGCUUCCUCCCUCAUCCCCUGCCUAACAACUGCUGUCCUCACAAGCUGAACGUGUGUGGCUGCUUCAGCAAAUCAUCACCACCUCCAAUGUCUCCUCUCCCAAGAGGUCAAUGACUCCUGUUCCCGUCACUCUUACCGCUUCUCUUACUACUUGACCUCGUUUUUUUAUUUCUUUUUGAUACAGAGUUUCACUCCUGUCACCCAGGCUGGAGAGAGACUCCGUCUCAAAAAAAAAAAAGAAGGAGUAGAGGUGUGUCUGUCACCAGAACCCGACCCGGAGUCUGGCUCAUAGCAAGGGGCUGCCAGAAUGUUGUUGUGGGGAAGGGCAACAGAACUUUUCAAACUCAGCUCUGACGUGACACUUUUAUUAGCAAAUUAAAGCCAAGAAUUGCAGGUACUCACAGCCAACCUGUGGGCCCCAGCAAUCCAGAUGGUUCUGAGGUUCCCAGUUUUGCUGGCACACAGAUGACCGUAAUGGCAGGCAGGGACUUCCCGGAGCAGCCAGGGUAGGAGGGGCUACAGCACUGACCCUCCUAGGGAGUUCAGGAAAAAUCUAGGAUCUUGAUAUAGUUUGGCUCUGAGGCCCACACAUUUAAUAGCCAAGAAACAGAGACGAACUUCUACUGGAUCAGAAAGGGUUUCAGAGGCCGGGUGUGGUGGCUCACGUCUGUAAUCCUAGCACUUUGGGAGGCCGAGGUGGGCAGACUGCUUGAGGUCAGGAGUUCAAAACCAGCCUGGCCAACAUAGUGAAACUCAGUCUCUACUAAAAAUACAAAAAAAAUUAGCCGGGCAUGGUGGCGGGCACCUGUAGUCGCAGCUACUUGGAUGGCUGAGGCAGGAGAAUGGCUUGAACCUGGGAGGCAGAGGUUGCAAUGAGCCGAGAUCAUGCCACUACACUCCAGCCCGGGCGACAGAGUGAGACUCCAUCUCGAAAAGAAGGAAGGAAGGGAGGGAGGGAGGGAAGGAAGGAAGGGAGAGAGAGAAAGAGAGAGAGAAGGAGAGAAAGAGAGAGAGACAAAGAGAGAAAGAGAGAGGAGAGAAAGAGAGAGAGACAGAGAAAGAGAGAAAGAAAGGAAAGAGAAAGAAAGGGUUUCAGAGCUCACUUAAUGUACUCUCCCAUUUAUUCAGCAGCUACUCUAUGCUAAACAAAGCAUCAAGCUCAUACAUACUGUUAUCAUUCUUAUUUAUAGAUGAGAAAACUGAGGCUCAGGGACACUGAGAAACUGGGCCACUGUCACACAGCCAGUGAACCUAAGUCACAACAAACGGCCACAGCCCACGGGUCUCACAAAGGUGUGAAUCUGAACAGGUGCACAAUAUCCAGCUGUGACAGGACAGUGGCUUCUUACAGCAGCUGAUUUCUGCCUGACUUCUGAUGUUUCUCCAGGAAAAAGGAAACAGGGAUUUUUUUUUUCUGGGAAAUUGCCUCAUUGACAAAUGUCAGCAAUCAAUACUUUUUUCCAAGAUAUCAUGGAGGCCAAGAGCAUCUAUUUGUGAUCUGUAUCUGGUCAGUGGUUUGCAGCACCUUCUAGAAAUAAGGUGCCACACCCAGCAAAACCCCCUUCCCUCUAAUAAUAACUAUGGUUAUUGAACUCCUAUGACAUGCCAUGCAGAGACACCCAGUCUCCACAUUCCCAAAGAAGCAUGAUCUUGUAUAAAGAGGAUACCUGGACCGGGUGCUCAUGCCUGUAAUCUCAGCACUUUGGGAAGCCAAGGCUGGUGGAUCACCUGAGGUCAUGAGUUCAAGACUAGCCUGGUGAACAUGGUGAAACCCCCGUCUCUACUAAAAAUACAAAAAUUAGCCAGGCAUGAUGGCGGGCACCUGUAGUCCCAGCUACUCAGGAGGCUGAGGCAGGAGAAUCGCUUGAACCCGGGAGGCAGAGGUUGC
rnacentral:lncRNA from 1 species